UCCGGUUUAGACCGGCGGUCUCCCUAGAGUGCCCUUGCGUAGCAACUAGGGACAAGGGUUGCGCUCGUUGCGGGACUUAACCCAACAUCUCACGACACGAGCUGACGACAGCCAUGCAGCACCUGUGUCCACUUUCCCUUUCGGGCACCUAAUGCAUCUCUGCUUCGUUAGUGGCAUGUCAAGGGUAGGUAAGGUUUUUCGCGUUGCAUCGAAUUAAUCCACAUCAUCCACCGCUUGUGCGGGUCCCCGUCAAUUCCUUUGAGUUUUAACCUUGCGGCCGUACUCCCCAGGCGGAUAACUUAAUGCGUUAGCUGCGCCACCUAAGCUCCAAGAGCCCAGACAGCUAGUUAUCAUCGUUUACGGCGUGGACUAC
rnacentral:misc_RNA from 1 species